rnacentral:tRNA from 4 species
CGUUAGCUCAGUUGGUAGAGCAGUUGGCUUUUAACCAAUUGGUCGCUGGUUCGAAUCCAGCACGG